rnacentral:sRNA from 1 species
CGUCAAAUGCCACAGUGAAACGCUUCUGAAAGUUGGUGGGGACCCACUGGAUUAUGUCAUUACAUGUGUGACUUUCCAAAACCCUAUCACGCCAUGACGCCACCUUUGAGCAUCACCAUGAUAUCAUCAUUACAAUAGCAACUAGGGGAUGUGUCAGUCAGCACUCUGAUAUUUACUUCAGACAAAAUGAGGUCAUGAACUAUGGGUAGGAAACGCAACAACUAUAUUUGUCACUGACAUAUGCAAACAACAGAGAUAAAGGCCAGACUCAGCCAUGUGAUACACAUUAGAUGUCACAUUGUCUUCUCGCCAAACUGUUGGGGGAUAGAGUUGAUCAGAUUAACACUAUCACUUUACAACAGAUAGUAACAGCUGAGAUUUAUUGUUGACUGACAUUCUUUCAUUAUCUUAUUUAAAAGUGUUAGCAGUUGAAAGACAAAUUUGCUGAGUCUUAAAAUAAAAUAGUCAAGACCAUUCACCGUGUCCUAGAAUCAGCACAACCAACCUUGCUACACUAACAUGGGGGCAGGCGACGGCUCUGGCGAAGGUUCUGGAAAAGGGAAGCUGUGUCCAGGGAUCAUUUGGUCCUUCUGCUGGUUUGUUCUUCUCAUCAUCAUUGGCUGGCCACUGGCAUUUUUCAUCGCUUGGCU